rnacentral:rRNA from 1 species
AUACGGAGGGGGCUAGCGUUGCUCGGAAUUACUGGGCGUAAAGGGUGCGUAGGCGGUUUGGAAAGUCGAACGUGAAAUCCCACAGCUUAACUGUGGAACUGCGUCCGAAACUUCUAGACUAGAGUGCGAGAGAGGUGAAGGGAAUUCCCGGUGUAAGGGUGAAAUCUGCAGAGAUCGGGAGGAACACCAGCAGCGAAGGCGCUUCACUGGCUCGCAACUGACGCUGAGUGCACGAAGGCGUGGGGAGCAAACGGGAUUAGAAACCCCAGUAGUCC